UUUUGCUUUUAACAAACUGUGAAAAGACCAACAGCUGUUACUGAGCUAAGAAGAACUAAAGGAUUUACAUGCCUAAGUCAGAGAGGAGAAUAAGAGUCCAGUCUCUGUGGUCCAAUUCAGGACACUCUGACAGACAAGCCUUACUCUAAAGAUGUUAAUUCAUAAUAAAUAACACCAUCAUGGUAUCUGCUUCUGGAGAACACGACCCAUGAUAUUUGUGUUGGUGAAUAAAAUUUGGCAUGAAGAA